rnacentral:lncRNA from 1 species
GUUACGGGGUGUCUUGAGGUGGUUAUGGGGCACCCAAAGGUGGUAGGGGGUGGUCUAAGAGGUGGUCGGGGGCACCCUGGGGUGGUUUCGAGGCACCCUAAGGUGGUAGGGGGUGUCUUGAGGUGGUUAUGGGGCACCCCAAGGUGGUAGAGGGUGGUCUAAGGGGUGGUAGGGGGCACCCAAAGGUGGUUAUGGGGCACCCAAAGGUGCUAUGGGGCGUCUUGGAGGUGUUUUGGGGUGCCCCAAAGUGGUAGGGGGUGGUCUAAGGGGUGGUAGGGGGCGCCCUGAGGUGGUUAUAGGGCACCCAAAGGUGCUAUGGGGCACCCAAGGGUGCUAUGGGGCGCCUUGGGGGUGUUAUUGGGGCACCCCAAGGUGCUGCGGGGCACCCCGAGGUGUUUCGGGUGCGCAAGUCCUGGAGAUGCCCACAGGGAACGGGGUCAGGCCUUGGGCAGGGGGGGCACCCAUGGGUCACCGGGAGCACCCAUGGGUCACCAGCAGCACCCAUUGA